UACGGGGGGGGUAAGCGUUGUUCGGAAUUACUGGGCGUAAAGGGCUCGUAGGCGGCCAACUAAGUCAGACGUGAAAUCCCUCAGCUUAACUGGGGAACUGCGUCUGAUACUGGAUGGCUUGGAUUUGGGAGAGGGAUGCGGAAUUCCAGGUGUAGCGGUGAAAUGCGUAGAUAUCUGGAGGAACACCGGUGGCGAAGGCGGCAUCCUGGACCAAUAUUGACGCUGAGGCGCGAAAGCCAGGGGAGCAAACGGG
rnacentral:rRNA from 1 species